AAUGCACUUAUUAGCCAAAGUAGAGCAGAACCUUGUCAUCAGUUUAGAUGACUCUAGGGUUGCAGCAGUAUCCAGAAAUGGAUGGUUAUUAUACAAUGUACAGUUGUUUAUUACUGGUAUUUAAAAUAGAACAAACUGAGAAUGUCAUUUGCAAAUGGUGGUGUGACAGCUGAUAGAAGUGAGUAUAUGAGUUAAAAGUACAGACAAGAUCUGUGGAUGCUGUGGUGCUCCUUUACUAAACUGACAAGUAUUUCAAUCAAUGUUUAGAGAACCUUUGAUGGCAUUUCUCUCUACUUUUUAACAAACCAAACCAUUAAUAGAAAUAAAUAAAACAGCAGAAUAAUCCACAAUGAAAAUAAGCAUUAGUUGCAGUUGGAUACAAAAUAGUUCAAAAUAGCUCCAUCUCAGCCAACUUUACAUUCAAGCAGGACUAAUUAUAUUAUAUAGUGCAACAGUCACAGAGUACAUGUCCACACUGAGUACUUUAAUACUUCAAAUACAUUUUUGUAACAAUAUUUACAUGCAUUCGAAAUGCAGGACUUUUAUUCGUAACAGAGAACUUUUACAGUGUAGCAUUAGUACUUAGUGUGAAUAUGUCUUGCAGCACUGGUGAUUGUGAGAACCCCUAGUCAAAUACAAAUUCAACCUAAAAAAAGACUACAAUAACAAAAAGGAAUAACAGAAAUAAGACAUUUUCUAGUAAAUAAAAAACCCCUAAUACAGGAAAAGUAAGGGAUAUUGCACUUCUGCAGUCUAAUUUGCUUACCAGUCACACACCAAAAUGGAAAUGUAGAAAUGUGUAUUCCACAUUUAAGCUUGCAAUCUCUAAAAUAGAUGAGUGAGAAUUACAAAUGCUACUUUUAAAGGGAUGUAUCAGUUUUUCUUUGGACAACAUUGAAGGAUUAGUCAAGAGAAAGAGUGCUUAUGCUGGUCAGGACUGCUGGAGCCCAUGAGAUUACGCUGGUUUUGGAGUCUGCUGAUCUCAAGAUGAUACUCCAUGCAAAUUGCCUCUAAGCCCUAAGAAGUAGUUUCAAAAUGCACUAUGUGUUUUUGUGCCUGUAAAUUUAUCCAGGGCCCACAGCAAAGCCAGACAGCACUUAAGUCUGACACUGAGAUUGAGUGAAUGCCUCUGAAUAUUGGUGGUUUCACAAAGCUACAGCAGAAACAUCCCAGUUUAUAAAAAGGCUUUGUGCAUUGUGCAGGUGAGAUAUAAAAAACAUCUUAAGACACUGUUUUGAGUACUUUGAGUACUUUAAGUCCCAAAGGCACAUACACAAAAGGCAUAGAAAAUGGGAAAACAAUUUUCCCAUUGUGUUUUCAGUAGUGAUAUUUUGGAGCAGGUGAGCGCCAAAUGUUCUGUGCCUAUGACAUGAAACCAAUCAAGCUUUCACAGUGUCCCUUAAGGAUGCCUAAAAAUGCAUGAUCCCAAUAAAGAGGGAUUUGUGCUGUUUGAAGACGUAGUAGAUUUAAAGGUGCUUUACUUACAACAAAGGUCAUGAAGAUCAAUACGGUUUUUAAGUCUGGGGUUUCGAUUGAUUGAUUGAUUGAUUGAUUGACCCCCCCCCCCCCUCGCUCUCUCUCUUUCAGUCUCAUUUUUGGUCCAUCAUUCACAAAACAAAAGGAUCACUGACAUCAAUCAACCGCCAGUCACACCACAGAUUUAUUAUUUCAAAAAACUAGUUCAGUGAUAAUUUACAGUAUUAUGCAGUAGUGUGCUAGGAAGGGAGGAAAUAAAAAAAGAGGUCAGACAAUAUUGCUGAUCGACUGAACAUGUGAAGCAUUUACAGUCUCACGUGUGACCUUUCAUCAUCAGUAGCCCAUUUUAACACUUCAAUUUCCUGUAACUUCUGACCCUAACAAUGCUGUUGCUUUCAGGAGAGUGAUAAACCAAAGUGUGUCCCUUUUUGUCAAUUUUGUGCACUACUUGAGAAAGAGAGGGAAAUGAGAGUAAGGUAAAAACCAGUUUAGCUGUUGCACGUUAAUAAACAGGCUCAUUUCCAAGGAUUCUGCUGGGCAGAUGGCAACAACACGUGCUGUCACUAAGAGCAGUGAUGACAGUCUCAUCUCUGUCUUUCGGUCCUUUUUUAGCCAUUUGUUUUUCUUAAGUGAAACACUAUCAAAAGCAAACUUAUGAUUAAUUCUCCUUCCAGAAUGUGUUAAAUAUAACUGCUACCAUUGAUGUAGAUUUGUUUUUAGUUAAGUAACCACUUGUAAUUAUAAUAUUACACACAAUAAGGGAUUACCAGGAUAUGAUCUGUAUUGUAUCUUUAACAUCCUGCAGAAACCAGCAUUUUCUCUUUCAUCCGCAAAUCUUUAUAUUUUAUGUUUAAAAUUUGUAUAGUUUAAAAUUUAAUGUUUAAUGUUUUAAAUUUGUAUCACAUUAACAUCCUCCAUUGCAUCACAGAUAUGGUCGGCCUUAAAGUCGUCUGUGAAGAGAAGAGUUAACUGUCAAGUUGCCACUGUUAGUGGCUUAGAUCAGAGCUCUAAUGGCCUCUGGGUGUUUAGAGGGAGGUUUGAUUUGCUUCAUCAGUGAGAGAAAG
ensembl:lncRNA